UCUUAUAUGAAGUUACAAAAAUUAUUGUACCGUCUAAAGCAAUCACCUCGCGUUUGGGUCGAAAAAAUUUUAACAAGGCUAUUCAGCAUUUUAGCAUGAUUUGCUGUGAAGCAAAUCAUUUUGUAUUCUUUAGAUGAUCAUCUUUGAAUAUAGUCAUUUUACCUUGUGAUAUAUGUGAAUAUGAUAUUAUAAGUGGUAAUGAUCGAGAGGGAAUUGAAGACCUAAACCAGAAUU
rnacentral:lncRNA from 1 species